UCAUGUUCUGACAUCUGAUGAGUCGUC
rnacentral:sRNA from 1 species